rnacentral:rRNA from 1 species
AUUGAACGCUGGCGGCAGGCCUAACACAUGCAAGUCGAGCGGAUGAGUGGAGCUUGCUCCAUGAUUCAGCGGCGGACGGGUGAGUAAUGCCUAGGAAUCUGCCUGGUAGUGGGGGACAACGGUUCGAAAGGAACGCUAAUACCGCAUACGUCCUACGGGAGAAAGUGGGGGAUCGUCGGACCUCACGCUAUCAGAUGAGCCUAGGUCGGAUUAGCUAGUUGUUGAGGUAAAGGCGCAACAAGGCGACGAUCCGUAACUGGUCUGAGAGGAUGAUCAGUCACACUGGAACUGAGACACGGUCCAGACUCCUACGGGAGGCAGCAGUGGGGAAUAUUGGACAAUGGGCGAAAGCCUGAUCCAGCCAUGCCGCGUGUGUGAAGAAGGUCUUCGGAUUGUAAAGCACUUUAAGUUGGGAGGAAGGGCAGUAAGUUAAUACCUUGCUGUUUUGACGUUACCAACAGAAUAAGCACCGGCUAACUUCGUGCCAGCCGCCGCAGUAACAC